rnacentral:rRNA from 1 species
UACGUAGGGUGCAAGCGUUGUCCGGAAUUAUUGGGCGUAAAGAGCUCGUAGGCGGUUUGUUGCGUCGGCUGUGAAAUCCCGAGGCUCAACCUCGGGUCUGCAGUCGAUACGAGCAAACUAGAGUGUUGCAGGGGAGACUGGAAUUCCUGGUGUAGCGGUGAAAUGCGCAGAUACCAGGAGGAACACCGGUGGCGAAGGCGGGUCUCUGGGGCAACAACUGACGCUGAGGAGCGAAAGCGUGGGGAGCGAACAGG